UUUUUAUUUUUUUUUCUUUGUACAGUCGUACCUGCAGCAUAUGGAAGUUCCUGGGCUAGCAGUUAAAUCAGAGCUACAGCUGAGAUCUAUGCCACACCCACAACCUACAAAAUUUGUGGCAAUGCCAGAUCCUUAACCCACUGAGUGAGGCCAGGGAUUGAACCCUCAUCCUCAUGGAUACUAUGUCGGGUUCAUAACCAGCUGAGCCGCAAGGGGAACUUCCACAGGAGUCUUUUUUUUUUUCUUUCCUUUUUUUUUUUUUUGGCCGCUCCCACAGCAUAUGCAAGUUCCCAGGCCAAGGAUCAAACCCAUGCCAAGGCAACAAUCCCAGCCACAGCAGUGAUAACACCAGAUCCUUAACCAAAAGAGAACUCCAUCCCACAGGAGUUUUUUGAAUAGGCUGUAUUGACAGCUACAGCUUUAAAAGACAAGAGGUAGGCUGAUACGCAGCCAGAGUCAAUGGUUCAACCUCUGUAGGUUUCUGGAGAUUUUUUCAGGAUAGCUCCCUCCUCUCAAUUACUCUGUUUCACAAAUUCUAGCUGCCUUGAUCUCCUGGAAUGCUGAUCUAUGUCUUCACCUCAAGGAGACUGCCAGACUCUGAGUUCCCACUCCCUCUGUAGUUGGCUGAAAUUGCCUCCAGGCAGAAAAUCAUAAAACUCCAUUUGUGUCUCUUAUCAGGGAUCACAAUCCUGUGCUGGGUGUUGUCUGAUAUCUGAAAAUAGCUGUUUUCUAUAUUUUGUCCAGUUUCCUAUUUAUUGGUGGUAGGAAGGCAAUUCCAAAUCAUCCUGCUCUCUUAUACGUGGAGAAGUCUCUCCAAUGACAUUUUGCACCUCACUAUAAUAAUGAGUAAAUUAGUCUUUUAAAAGUCUCAUGGAGGAGUUCCUGCUGUGGUGCACUGGGUUAAUGAUCCAACUUGUCUCUGUGGAGGCACCAGGUCAAUCCCCAGUCCGGUGCAGUAGGUUAAGGAUCUGAUCUAGCAUUGCUGCAGCUGUGGCAUAGGUUGCAGCUCUGGCUUGGAUUCGAUCCUUGGCCCAGGAACUUCCAUAUGCCACUACUGCAGCCAAAAAAGGAGAAAAUAAGUCUUAGAGGGAGUUUACUUGUGGCUCAGUGGGUUAAGUCACUGUUGGUUACAGCUGUGACAUGGGUUCAAUCCUGGCCCAGGAACUUUUGCAUGCCUCGGGCAAGGCCAAAAAAAAAAAAGAAAGAAAGAAAAGAAAGGAUACAUUUUACCAGUUUAAAAAAAUAAAAGUCUUAUAAAAUUGUUUUAAAAAAAAAUAAAUGACAGGAGUUCCCUGGUGGCACAGCAGAUUAAGGAUCAGGCACACUGCUGUAGCACGGGUUCCAUCUUUGGCCUGGGAACUUCCACAUGCCAUGGGCUUGGCCAAAAAUAAAAAUAAAUGACAAAAGAAUAUAAAAGGAAGUAGAUAACAAUAGACAGAAUACAUAAAAUUAAAGAAAUCACUGAUUAAAAAAUAAUUGCCUGGGGCUCAAGGAGAAGAUAGGAAUUCUUCAUAAGUUAAAGGUAAAAUAUUGUUUCUGGUUGGUAUGGCAUAUAUAGUUAUGUGUGUGUAUCUCUCUCUCUCUCACACACACACACACACACACACACACACACACACACACACACACACACGACAUUCCCUGUAGGUAGAAUGAGAACCUAAAAACCCAGAAGCCUCUCAGUUACUUAGGAAAAAAUUUAAUAAUGGAAUGGUGGGUAAAGUAUAUGAAGAGUUAAGACAACCAAUGACUUCCAAUGAAAAUAUGAAACUUCGACAGCCAUCAAAAGAACAAAAAUAAAAUAAUUACAAUUGAUCACAACAUUGAACAAAACCAACAACCAACUUCUCCUAUGGAUAUUUCCUUACCCUCAAAGUGCAAAAAAAAAAAAAAAGCAUGUUGGAGUUCCCGUCAUGGCGCAGUGGUUAACGAAUCCGACUAGGAACCAUGAGGUUGCGGGUUCAGUCCCUGCCCUUGCUCAGUGGGUUAACGAUCCGGCGUUGCCGUGGGCUGUGGUGUAGGUUGCAGACGCAGCUCAGAUCCCGCGUUGCUGUGGCUCUGGCGUAGGCUGGUGGCUACAGCUCCGAUUCAACCCCUAGCCUGGGAACCUCCAUAUGCUGCGGGAGCGGCCCAACAAAUAGCAACAACAACAACAAAAAAGACAAAAAAGACAAAAAAAAAAAAAAAAGCAUGUUAAGAGAAUUCCAGUUGGUUCUCCCCAGGAUAUGCCCCCCAAACUAACUAUAGUGAAUCUUAAUUUAGGGAAUGAUAUCUCUAUAGCUGAUAAAUAUAGAUGGAAACUAACGUUCGAAAAUAUACAAGCGCAGAGAUAAAUUUUACAUAAAUUGUAAUUUUUGUUCAGAUAACAUAUAUAACAAUUUGUAGUAUUUGUAAAGUUAGAGAAAACAUCUAGUUUUAGUAGCAUCUAAAUAUAAGACCUAUUGGGCUGUGGGAUGGAAAUACUGUGAAAUCAGAUUGUUAUGAUCAUUAUACAACUACAGAUGUGAUAAAUUCAUUUGAGUAAUAAAAAAAUGAAAAAAUAAAUAAAUAAAUAAAUAAAAGACCCAUACUAAAACAGUAGUUCAAGAAUAAGCAAUUCUAAAUGACCAAUAUUUCAACUAUUUAAUAAAAAUGAAUUACUGUGUAACUACACAUAAGUAAUGUGUCAGAGGCAGUAACUGGUGUCCUGGAUAUAAGAACCAAGCACCCGGAUUUCAAACACCUUGUCUUCAGUUUAAUUCCUAUAAAAAUGGUCAACAGAUUAAAUAAUCUAAUAAAUAUUAAAUUGCUGUAAACUUAUAAACAUAAUUCUGACAAAUCUGAAACACUCAUUUAAAUCACAAAAGCUUGGAGUUCCCGUUGUGGCACAGUUCCCACUAGGAACCAUGAGGUUGUAGGUUCGAUCCCUGGCCUCGCUCAGUGGGUUGAGGAUCUGGCAUUGUCGUGAACUGUGGUGUAAGUCGCAGACACAGCUCGGAGUUGCUGUGGCUGUGGUGUAGGCUUGAAGCUACAGCUCUGAUUAGACCCCUAGCCUGGGAACCUCCAUAUGCCUCAGGUGUGGCCCCAAAGGACAAAAAAAUAAAUAAAUAAAAAAUUAAGAGUUUUACUUUAUUCCACACUUGCCUUCUGAAACUAGGUUAAGAUCUUUAUCAUGACCACCCUCUCCUAUGCCGCAUUAUCAUGACUUAAACAGUUCUGCUUUUACCAUAAAACUCUUACAGCGUAGCCAAAAAUCCCCAAAUGAUUAAUGAACUGCUGAGAAUUCUGACUCGUUAGAGAUGAUUUUAUUAGGAAUCAUAUUUCCAAACAUCCAUUCAGUGCUUCAAAAUAAGUACUCAUCUAAUUUAAUUAUGAUGACUUCACCAGACAGUAAUACUGCCCACAAUCAUGUUUACAAAAGCACUUGUCACUCCCUUCAGAUGUAGCAAUGCAGAAAAAGGAGUCUGUUUCCAUAUUCUGUUUAUACUCUGUAACAAGUGACAGAGCUUAAGUGUCACUUAAGAUUAUUUAAACAAAGUACUUCAAGUUGAAUGUGACCCACCAUCUUUCAUCGAAGCGAAUCCUAAAAUCGUUGGGUUUUAUUUCAACAGUAAUUUCCACUCAGUACCUGAGACAGGUAUUCCAAGGCAGCCUUAGCAAGAAAAGAGACUCCAGGAUGAGACUGUAGGAUUCUGUUUUAGCUCUAAGAUAACAGGCUCCAUUUAAAGUAACUUCAGUGGAGGUUACUGCAACAUCAAGGCACGUCGGAAAUAAAUGUGCCCCCAAAGGUACACCCGCACCCGCAGCCAGGAAUCAGCAAUAGCCAACCAAGGAAGAUGCUGCAGCAGAGUUUCUCCUAACAGCCACCACUGACCAAGCACUUGCUGUUUGGUCAUGCACAUCAUCCUGUCCUAGCUUCACAACAACCCUGUGAAGUACGCAUAAUUAUUCCCAUAUACAAACCCGGAUACUUUAGUCCAAGGCCCCAGGGCUGGUCAGUGGCGGCGCUGGGAUUUGAAAAUACGACU
rnacentral:lncRNA from 1 species